AUGUCACCAACUCUGCGAGCUUGGAUCCCAGAGCGAACAGGGCUGCAUGAGAGCGAAUCCUUUUUCCAGCACUUCGAGACUGGCUCGGGUUGGGACAGAUUGAACACCGAAAGUGCUGGCAUACCACAAUCUCUCAGACUACAAAAACUAGGAGGAAAUUAUAGCUGUAUAAGACAGAUCCUUCAGCCAGAGGAAUAUUAUAAGCCUUUGGAUUUUAAAACGCUGAUAUCCAAAAGAAAGUCUGCUCAACACUCUCUUCUGGGAGCCAAAAUCAAGUUCAAAUGGAUCACGCAAGGAGCAAAAGAAGCUGCAACUCACCAGUGCUGCGACAGGCAGCUGAGAGGUAUGACCACAAGUAGAUGUGGUUGGCCGGCGCCGCGGCUCACUAAGCUAAUCCUCCGCCUGCGGCGUCGGCGUCGGCACACCAGGUUCUAGUCCCGGUCGGGGUGCCGGAUUCUGUCCCGGUUGCUCCUCUUCCAGGCCAGCUCUCUGCUGUGGCCAGGGAGUGCAGUGGAGGAUGGCCCAAGUGCUUGGGCCCUGCACCCCAUGGGAGACCAGGAGAAGCACCUGGCUCCUGCCAUCGGAUCAGCGCGGUGCGCCGGCUGCAGCGUGCCAGCCGCGGCGGCCAUUGGAGGGUGAACCAAUGGCAAAAGGAAGACCUUUCUCUCUGUCUCUCUCUCUCACUAUCCACUCUGCCUGUCAAACAAAACAAAACAAAACAAACAAACAAAAAAACCACACAAGUAAACGUGGACAGGAGCCUAGAGACUUAGCAGCAUCACAGGGCUCUACCUACCAGUGACAGAUCAUGAGGGUAGCUAUGACAUGCUUCUUCCCAGAGUGGAGAACUUCUGACGUCUGUUGGAAGCAAUCCAUCCUCAAAUUGGAUAAUUCCCCAAAUUAUUAAUUUUGGCAUCUUGGCCUAGGCUUCCACUUGUGGAAGUGAUCCCAUCCUAUUCGCACUUAUCAGUGAAGAAAUUCUUGAUUUCUAUCAUGGCUGCGACCGUCAGCACACAUUGGGUCACUGUAGCUUAUCCUUCCCAAUUCCCUCCCACACCUACCCUCACCCUACUGGUUCUUAGAAGGAAAUGGGGGUAUUCUGCACAACAACUUUGUUUAAGCUUAGGCUAAAACAUCUUUAGCAAUUUCUUCUUUUUUUACAUUUAAAAAUAUAGAUGAUAGAAGAAUUUGCCUUACUUGGAAAGUUGACAUUUAAAGAUAUUAACUAAGAGGAACUCUCCUUUCUUCUUCUCUGUUAUCCCUCUCUAUGGCUGCAAAGAGUAAAGGAUGAGGGAAGAAAGGCAUUGAGGGUCAAAAAGAAAUCAAAGAAUAAAGACAUUGAGUUAUAUGGGGCCA
rnacentral:lncRNA from 1 species